rnacentral:ncRNA from 2 species
AAUUAAUAAUUAAUAUCAGGUGUCCGUAAAGGAUGAAAAGGGAAAGCGGUUAGAAUCCGCUGCAGCCCACCGUUACUGUGAAGCUGAUGAAACCUGUAAGCAAGUCGAUACUUGCAGUCACUGAUUAAAAUCGGGAAGGUACAGGGAGUAAAUUGAAGCUAAGCCAGGAGACCUGCCUGAUAUUUGCAAAUUCU